rnacentral:tRNA from 1 species
GAUCUCGUAGCUCAGCUGGUAGAGCAUGCGCGUACAAAGCGUAGGCGGCGUCCAUUCGUUGGUUCGAAUCCCACCGAGGCUA